CGGGGUGUAGCGCAGCUGGUAGCGUGCUGGUUUCGGGUACCAGAGGUCGUGGGUUCGAGCCCCGCCACCCCGA
rnacentral:tRNA from 1 species